CGUAAAUGUGAAAUGCCUUCUCUAAGAGACGUUUGCUUUGUGUUGUGUUUAAUAUCAGCACUUCCACUUAUAUACAGCUAAAAUUCGGCACAAAAACUAUCCAGCAUGUCUGAGAAAAGAUGGAAGACAUGGACACUGUAUGCCCACUAAUGGAUGUCCCAAAAUUAUGAAAAUGUGGCAAAAAGGACAAAAGAUACGACUUAAACGCAUAGAAAGAGUUUACAUAAAAAGCUCCCUUUGCCCGAAUAGAGAUAAGGGUUUUGUUUGCUGCGAAGACUUAAUCCAGCCAACUCGUAAACCAAUCAUCACCAAAGAAAGUCUUGGACUGCAAGUGUUGAGCAAACAGGAAUGCGGUAAAUUAAAGCCGGUGCCACAAACUAUAAAUGGAUACGCUGUAAACUUAAUGUCCAGACCAUGGAUGGCCUUGCUUAAGUCAAUUGUAUUCGGUUUUGAAAACUUUAGAUGUGGUGCUACGCUUAUAACGACUCG